AACGCACCUUGCGCUCCUUGGUAUUCCGAGGAGCAUGCCUGUUUGAGUGUCAUUAAAUUCUCAACCUUAUUAGCUUUUGUUGAUAAUGGCUUGGAUGUGGGGGUUACUUUGCUGGUUUCUUUAAUGAGAUCAGCUCCCCUUAAAUGUAUUAGCUGGUUGCCUUGUGCAGACUUGUCUAUUGGUGUGAUAAUUAUCUACGCCGUGGACUUCUGCCAGUAUUUAGCACCGCUUCUAACUGUCUGUUUACUCAGACAAUUAUAUGACAAUUUGACCUCAAAUCAGGUAGGACUACCCGCUGAACUUAA
rnacentral:ncRNA from 2 species